GAUUUUUCAUUUGUUUCCUUCUUCUUUGUUUUGGAGAGUCCCCGGACACACGUGUCGCGAAGGGG
rnacentral:RNase_MRP_RNA from 1 species